UACUGCAGUGGCCCCAGGGCGCUCUCGGAGAGGAGCUGCAAGAGCUGCUGCCCCGCUGGCCCAGGGCGGCCAGUUGGCUGGAGAACUUAGGCCAUAUCCACAAGUAUGUGGGAAAGUUCCUCAGCAGCAGCUUGAAGAAAUUUAUAAACAAGAAACCUGAGAACGCCACGAACCUCUCCCCACCGACCUCCAAGAACCUCUCCCUUCCGACCGCCAAGAACCUCUCCCAACCAAAUGCCACGAACCUCUCCCCAUCCAUCCUCUCCCCACCGAACGCCACGAAAGUCCAGGCACUGAACGCCAUACAGCCCCCACCAUCCACCUCUUCCCGGGGCCCCAGGUAGGAGAGCACAGACACUGCUGGCGCCUAGGAACUGGGGGCAACUUGGGUUGGAGCGAGAGGAAGCUCCUGCGGGCUGAAGUGGGGAGGUACUAGUGCCCCCAGGGACUUCCUCCUCCUAGCUACCUGGACCUUGACCUCCAGACACCUGAUCCACUGGAUCUCACUGCUCGCCAACACCUUUAUAUUGUGAAAAGGGCCUCAACUCCACCCCACCCCCUCAGUGAAAGCAAUAAAAAGACACAAAAUCUCCA